rnacentral:rRNA from 1 species
UAAGGCUGAGCUGUGAUGGGGAGAAGACAUUGUGUCUUCGAGUCGUUGAUUUCACACUGCCGAGAAAAGCCUCUAGAUAGAAAAUAGGUGCCCGUACCGCAAACCGACACAGGUAGUCAAGAUGAGAAUUCUAAGGUGAGCGAGCGAACUCUCGUUAAGGAACUCGGCAAAAUGACCCCGUAACUUCGGGAGAAGGGGUGCUCUUUAGGGUUAACGCCCAGAAGAGCCGCAGUGAAUAGGCCCAAGCGACUGUUUAUCAAAAACACAGGUCUCUGCUAAACCGUAAGGUGAUGUAUAGGGGCUGACGCCUGCCCGGUGCUGGAAGGUUAAGAGGAGUGGUUAGCUUCUGCGAAGCUACGAAUCGAAGCCCCAGUAAACGGCGGCCGUAACUAUAACGGUCCUAAGGUAGCGAAAUUCCUUGUCGGGUAAGUUCCGACCCGCACGAAAGGCGUAACGAUUUGGGCACUGUCUCAACGAGAGACUCGGUGAAAUCAUAGUACCUGUGAAGAUGCAGGUUACCCGCGACAGGACGGAAAGACCCCGUGGAGCUUUACUGUAGCCUGAUAUUGAAAUUCGGCACAGCUUGUACAGGAUAGGUAGGAGCCUUUGAAACGUGAGCGCUAGCUUACGUGGAGGCGCUGGUGGGAUACUACCCUAGCUGUGUUGGCUUUCUAACCCGCACCACUUAUCGUGGUGGGAGACAGUGUCAGGCGGGCAGUUUGACUGGGGCGGUCGCCUCCUAAAAGGUAACGGAGGCGCUCAAAGGUUCCCUCAGAAUGGUUGGAAAUCAUUCAUAGAGUGUAAAGGCAUAAGGGAGCUUGACUGCGAGACCUACAAGUCGAGCAGGGUCGAAAGACGGACUUAGUGAUCCGGUGGUUCCGCAUGGAAGGGCCAUCGCUCAACGGAUAAAAGCUACCCCGGGGAUAACAGGCUUAUCUCCCCCAAGAGUUCACAUCGACGGGGAGGUUUGGCACCUCGAUGUCGGCUCAUCGCAUCCUGGGGCUGUAGUCGGUCCCAAGGGUUGGGCUGUUCGCCCAUUAAAGCGGUACGCGAGCUGGGUUCAGAACGUCGUGAGACAGUUCGGUCCCUAUCCGUCGUGGGCGUAGGAAAUUUGAGAGGAGCUGUCCUUAGUACGAGAGGACCGGGAUGGACAUACCUCUGGUGUACCAGUUGUCGUGCCAACGGCAUAGCUGGGUAGCUAUGUGUGGACGGGAUAAGUGCUGAAAGCAUCUAAGCAUGAAGCCCCCCUCAAGAUGAGAUUUCCCAACUUCGGUUAUAAGAUCCCUCAAAGAUGAUGAGGUUAAUAGGUUCGAGGUGGAAGCAUGGUGACAUGUGGAGCUGACGAAUACUAAUCGAUCGAAGACUUAAUCAA